GGCUAGAUUGCAGAGUGGUUUAUGCAGAAGAUUGCAAAUCUUUUUUAGAUAGGUUCGAAUCCUAUUCUAGCUU
rnacentral:tRNA from 1 species